GAAUUUGUUCUGACAAAUGUACUUCUAUCCAAGCCUAGAUGGGUCAGUCUCUGGGUGGAGCCUCCUGAUGUAAUCAAGUGGUGCAGAAAUGGUGUCAUAGCGACCUGUGUGACCACGUGGGAAGCAUUUGACUUCAGGGCAAGCUUGUUCACAUCUGAUACACAAUGACAAGAACAGACCUUGCACGCAGGGCCAUUGAGUGCACUGAGAAACUCCAUGACACAUGGUUACCACACACACCAGGAUGGAGAUGGUGCCUGCGCUAGAAUUCUGUGCUAUCCACCAACUGCACCGGACAGUCUAUCUUCCACACGGCAGCCCCAAGUUUUGCUUACAGGACAGUUUGAGAUGAUCUCUGCCUUGCAACAGCCCUGUCUCUGCCUCUUACCUUUCCUCAUCAAAGAGUCUGUGGUGGUUAGUCACCUGCGCCAACCUGAUCGGACAAGGAGGUGCCCAGUAAGCUGCUAAGACAUGGUUCUGAUUCUUUCUAGGAAGAUGUUUUGGUAUGUGAUUACAAUUUACAUCCAUGAACUCUCAGAUGCACAAUACACCUUAUCCAGCCCAUCAAAGGCCCAAAUGCUGUGAGAGAACUCACCUGCCUGACGGCCUUCAAGCUGGAACAGGAGCCCUGCCGAUCUUGGAUUUACCAGCCUCCCAAAUUGCAUGGUCCAUUUCCACAUAACAAACCUCUCCCCCAGUAUAAACCCUGUGUUGGUUCUGUUUCUCUAAAGAGCCCUGGAUUCGUAUGGACUUUGGCACCAAGGAGGAGAGAUGUCCACAGGCUACUGUGAUGAAAUGCCGCAGGCUUGGACAGCUUUCCCCCACAGUCCUGCAGGUUGGACAUACAAAGCCAAGCCGUGAGCAGGGCUGGCUCCUCCUGCCUUAAAGCUGCCCGCUUUAUCCUGGUAUCCUCACAUGGCCUUUCCUUGCCUUGGAUUUUACUGGAAUAGGUCUUCUCCCUAGCAUCUCACUUAACCUUAA
rnacentral:lncRNA from 1 species